rnacentral:rRNA from 1 species
AUGGAAGGGAUGGGGAAGAAGAGGCGCCCGCUGAUGGUGAUGGACUCCUCGUUGACCGCGGCGGCGCAGACGGCGUCGAGGGGUCCAGAGACCGGGGCGUGGGAGUGGAUGGCAAGGGAGCGCGCAGCCGUCGACCCCGUGCACUGUCUCCCUCUCUCCUCAACGACUCGCGGCGAAGAAGCCGCUGGAGGAGGAGCUCGACCCGGACGACGGUGGCCGGAGGACGUCACCAUGGGGAUUUGCUGCAAAGGGCCACCGGAGGAGGAGCCCAACUACAGGAGAAUGCGGUGUAGCAAGAGCCUCGCCAGCAUCGUCGGCAUCGAGCAGUCCUCUAAAGCUCGUCCUCACCACCACGGACGCCGAAACGGCUCCAAUGGAAAGAUUUUUGUUCAUGCUGGGAUGUGUUCAUGUGUGGAAGCUGGGCUGUGUCUAUAUCUCGUCAUUUAUCCAAAAUAUUGUUCUUCCAUUUGGGGCUUUAGUUGCAGAUUCAUGCUUAAAAUUAUAUUGUUCAGACGCAUCUUUGCGUGCUUGUUUUGCUUUAACCCGUCGCCUAGCCAUGAAGCACUCUGCUGCAGCUUCUCACUUCACGGUCGACGACACUCUGCUCCAACCCGUCACUUCGCUGUGAAGCCCUCUGCUGCAGCCUCUCACUUAACCGUAGACGACACACUGCUCCAACCCGUCUCUGUCCAGUCCCAGACAAACCUGUUGUAA